ensembl:lncRNA
CCACCAGGAGUCUAACUCCACUCUCUCGGCUCUGUACUUACAUGCAGAGGCCAGCUGGGCACCUCACCUGAACAUCAUCAGGUCCAGGGGAGACUUGUCUGUGCCACCCCAACUUGCUGUCAUCAAUUCAUGGCCACAUACAGAAAACACUCAGUGCAUGUUAAAGUAUUAAUGCAUUGAGUUCCCAUCCCGUGGCUCAGUGGUUAACGAAUCCGACUAGGAACAAUGAAGUUGUGGGUUCGAUCCCUGGCCUCGCUCAUUGGGUUAAGGAUCCGGCCUUGCUGUGAGCUGUGAUGUAGGCCAGUGGCUAUAACUCCGAUUAGACCCCUAGCCUGGGAACCUCCAUAUGCCCCAAGAGCAGCCCCAGAAAUGGCAAAAAGACCAAAAAAAAAAAAAAAAGUGUUGAUGCAGGAUGCCUUAUUUGGCCUUGGGAUGAGGGGAGGAUAAAUACGAACAAAGCACAGUCCACCUCUUGAGGCUCACAAUCCAGGGCUAGACAAGAAGACAACUACUCCUAAGUCAAGUGACUGUAGUGUGUAUUAUAGAGGAGAAGGAAGUCUGUGGAAGUCAAAGAGAAGAGGGAGGAGAGGUUCAGAGGGCAUGUGGGACAGAGAGCACGCAGGGGAGGGACCAGGGAAAGGGAUGCCAGCGAUGGGAAGGACCUGAGCAGAGCAGGUUGGCAUCAGCUGCACCUGCACGUGACAAGAAGGAGUCAGGAAGAGUCUCAGGGGUUUGGAAGAAGGUGGGGCUGGAGCCUGCAGUCUUUCCGAAGGUGCUGGCGAUCACCAGAGGUUUUGAGCAGGGCGCGAGGCAAGGCAUCAGGUUCUGUGUGUUUUAGGAAGAGAAGUUGAAGAGGAUAGAUUGGAGCAGGGCAAGUGCCAUGGGGAGGCGACCACAGUGGGUCAUUGGAUAAAUGGCAGGGCUUGACUGAGGGCAGCAGAAAUGAAGUGGAGGUUACUCCAGAAUGAUUUGUACUUGAAAGCCAAUCUGCGAAUUUAUAAUGGGCAUGAACUUACCCAACCACUCGAAUGAUUAGGUCUGCUGGCCAGAACACAGCUUUUUAAAUUGAAGUACAUUAAUAAUCAAAGGAUUAUUCGGGAAAACUGGAGUUAAGGCAGAAGGAGUUGGAUGGUCUGAAAGGACCUUUCUCUUGAUCUAUAACCAUUUUUUGCAUGGCAGAAAUAAUAUAGCUUAGUCUCUGGCGAGUUGUUAACUCUUCUCUGGAGGGAGCCUUGGCCUGCCACGGCAGGAGGAACCGCUGCCCUGGCCAGCACUGCAGAGAAGCUGGCUGGAGGUGUAUUCGGGGAUCUUUCAGUUGCAAGAAAGGGAACUCACUCAUCGAUGAGCAAGUAGAAUGGGAAAUAGUUAUACAUAAGGGGACUCUUCUAACCCAAAUACUAGAAAAGCAGCCAGACCUCAUGAGACUUAGAACAUUGUCAGGCACUUUCUCUUCCCUCCGUCCAUGCCCACUGAGAAUCUGCUUUCUUCUUCUUCCAGAUACAUUGGCUUUUUUUUUUUUUGUCCUCGCCAACAGCAUGCAGAAGUUCCCAGGCCAGGGGUCAAACCCUUGCCACAGUAGUAACCCAGUGACAAUGCCAGAUCCUUAAUUGCUAGGCCACCAGGGGACUCCCACAUUGGCCUUUGCUUUCCCAGCCACUUUACGGGGGCCCCCUUAUAACUCCUCCAAAAUGGUGACCUUGACCCCCUUGUCUUUCCAGACUUACAGUCUGCCCCUCACAGCUGACCCAGUCUGUGCAUCUCAAAUACGAAUUCCGGAAGAGAGAGUCUCAUUGUCCAGGUUGGGUUGGGUUUGUUUGGCAGGGGGAGGGCAAGGCUUUCCCUAAUCUAGUCAGGCUGAAAAUAUGACAAGAUAGAUUCUUUGGAAAAAAAAAAAAAUGAUGUAGGUACCAGAUAACUCUAGUAGAGUGGGAUGUAAGCCCUGAAUAACUCUAUUGUACUGGUAUUAUUGUUCAGCUCUUCUAGACUUCGUGAAUAAUUCAGUUUAUUAGUUGUCUUUUGCUGUGUCGCAAAGUACCCCAAAACUUGGGAGUUCCUUGGCAGCCUAGUGGUUAAGCACAAACAAGUACAUGCAUAGACACAUUCAUAAUGGAAACAAAUGUCACAAGAGUUUACACCGUCACUACCCGGGAUGGAUUCAGUUAUAUUGUAUUCUAGGCAAUUUCUUUUCUUUUCUUUUCUCUUUCUUUCUUUUCUUUCUUUCUUCCUUUUUUCCUGUGCCCACAACAUGCAAAGUUCCCAGGCCAGGGAUUAAACCCAUGCCACAGUAGUGACAACGCUGGAUCCUUAACCAUUAGACCACCAGGGAACUCCCUGAAAUUUCAUUUUUUAUGAAAGCUGGUCACAAUCUUACUGAUUUCACAACCUAUCGCACUGUGAUCCAACUUAUGGAAAGGGGCAGCCUAAAGAAUCAUCCAGACUCUCAGCCAUGGGCAAGCCUCUCACCAUCUACCCUUCUGGCACCCCCCUCAUUCAUUUUUAAUAGUGACUACCCCAGGUAAAGUUCCUUUCUCUGGAGCUCUCUCCUCUCCUUCCCUAUAUGGUUCAGAGAACUCUUAUCCAUCCUUUAAAACCCAGCUUUAAAGUGACUCCUCUUCCCCUGUCUCCUUGAACAGAAUUGCCUCUUCUGUCUUCUGGCCCCUAGAGCAUUUCAGUGACACUUGGUGAUGGUCCCUCCUCCACUUCCAGCCUGUCCUAGGGCCAGCUGCCCCAAGCCUACAAAUACUUCCAGUGACUCUCUGAGGACGUUUAGGAAGACAUUGAGCAAAUUAGCAUCACGCAAAUGAUGGUACUGCAAAUGAGCGGUGGCAGAGUUGGGGGGUGUUGCAGGCAGGUUUCCUGUCGACGGAGCCACGUGCUGCAGAAAAAGGCUCCCUCCCCCUGUGGCUGCAGUCUCCCCAGCAUCCAUCACAGGUACCAUUUACACCGGAACUUGCCCGGUUCAUUAGUGCGGUUCAUUUGAGCUACUCUGGUUUCUUUUUGUUUUGUUUUGUUUUCUUCUACUUUUUUCAUGGGCUUGUAUUGAUGGAAACAGCCUGGUGAGACAUGGAGCUUUAGGCAGCACAGAUAGAAAGGCCUCUAUCUGCACCCGCCCUGCACGCGCGCGCGGAGGAGGGGGGUUCCUUUCUGAAGUGGUACGGAAGGAGGGUUUUGAGGUUUUUGAAUAUUUGCUUCUCAGUAUCUAAAUAAGAGAUUUGAUUGCCCACAUUUGUGCUAUCUUGACAAGCUAGCAACCCGACAAAAUAUUUUUCUGGUUGGUUUUGCCUAUACGUGGUUUUUAUUUUUGAGGGGAAGAAAAAUUUACACCUUGGUUAAAUUGUACCGGAAUACAAUGGCUGUUUUUUAAAUUGCUGUUAAUGUAAGGAUUGAAACUAAUAUGAUUUCCAGGCUCAGCCUCUUGGGAGUUGCUGAUAGACCACACUGUGAAGCAUAAC